ACGCACACACAUCCGCCUGCAUGCUGCUGCACUCGUUGUGUUUUUUUUUUUUUGGUUUCAAGAGGUUUUCGGGCACCUCGGCUCCGCGCGAACACCCUCCUCUUCCGCUCGUCUUUGUCACUCUUUCCAUCUCUUGGGCGGGCGUAUGACGGCUGAUUUGUGUAAUUAGGUUAGCACAAGUGCUCCAGCUUCCGUGUCCAUGCGCUUACUUGAAAGAGCAGCUGCAGAAUGAUGGCGAAGAAUGACCCAAUAAGUCCGAUCACACAUACACACAUAUACACAAU
rnacentral:misc_RNA from 1 species